rnacentral:misc_RNA from 1 species
UGGUGCUGGUUCAACUGUCGGUCA